rnacentral:rRNA from 1 species
ACGUAGGUGGCGAGCGUUAUCCGGAUUUACUGGGCGUAAAGCGCGUUCGGGCGGCUUGACAAGUCGGGCAUGAAAUCUCUCGGCUCAACCGGGAGGGGCUGUCCGAAACUGUCGGGCUUGAGGGCAGUAGAGGCAGGUGGAAUUCCCGGUGUAGUGGUGAAAUGCGUAGAGAUCGGGAGGAACACCAGUGGCGAAAGCGGCCUGCUGGGCUGCACCUGACGCUGAAACGCGAAAGCUAGGGGAGCGAACG